rnacentral:rRNA from 1 species
CAGUAGCCGCGGUAAUACGGAGGGUGCAAGCGUUAUCCGGAUUCACUGGGUUUAAAGGGUGCGUAGGCGGAUCUGUACGUCAGUGGUGAAAUCUCCAGGCUUAACCUGGAAACUGCCGUUGAUACUAUAGGUCUUGAAUUUUGUGGAGGUUAGCGGAAUAUGUCAUGUAGCGGUGAAAUGCAUAGAUAUGACAUAGAACACCAAUUGCGAAGGCAGCUGGCUACACGACUAUUGACGCUGAGGCACGAAAGCGUGGGGAUCAAACAGGAUUAGAUACCCCCGUAGUCCCUGUCUCUUAUAC